CGUGAUUACUGGGCGUAAAGCGCACGCAGGCGGUCUGUUAAGCUAGAUGUGAAAGCCCCGCGCUCAACGUGGGAGGGUCAUUUAGAACUGGCAGACUAGAGUCUUGGAGAGGGGAGUGGAAUUCCAGGUGUAGCGGUGAAAUGCGUAGAGAUCUGGAGGAACAUCAAUGGCGAAGGCAACUCCCUGGCCAAAGACUGACGCUCAUGUGCGAAAGUGUGGGUAGCGAACAGGAUUAAAUACCCUGGUAGUCCACACCGUAAACGCUGUCUACUAGCUGUUUGUGAAUUUAAUUCGUGAGUAGCGAAGCUAACGCGAUAAGUAGACCGCCUGGGGAGUACGGCCGCAAGGUUAAAACUCAAAUGAAUUGACGGGGGCCCGCACAAGCGGUGGAGCAUGUGGUUUAAUUCGAUGCAACGCGAAGAACCUUACCUACUCUUGACAUACUAGAAACUUUUCAGAGAUGAAUUGGUGCCUUCGGGAAUCUAGAUACAGGUGCUGCAUGGCUGUCGUCAGCUCGUGUCGUGAGAUGUUGGGUUAAGUCCC
rnacentral:rRNA from 1 species